UGGGGACGUACAGUAAUGACAUGAACUGGUGAGUAAUCUCUUGAUUUUGCAAUAUCACCUAGGGAUAGGGAUAAGACGAUCAAUUGCGCUAACUUCUGUUUAUAAUGCGGUAUUAAUUACUAGGGGAGGCUAGGGAUAGCAAGCCAGUAGUUAAUAUUAGGCCAUUUUCGCCGAGGGAUCGGGUUAAGGGGAGACUAAGAAAGUCGCAUAACAAUUAAUCAAACUAAUAUUCAAGGGUAGUAUGUAAGAGAGAGCGGAUUAGAUGAAAUUGUAAACCCCCAACAACUCCAUUCAUCCAUCCACUUUUGUGUUUAACCUCAAUUGAUCAAAUUGCAUUCAUGUUUAUUUUUCUGUACUUUAUAUUGAAAAAUCCCAAAAUAUUAUUUUUAUAGUCUUGAUUGGUUAAGCAAAAGCACAACAGUUUAGUGUCGUGAGUCUCUUGGGAAAACGAUACUUGGACUUACCAUUUAUUAUUACUUGAAACGAUUUGGUACACUUGCCAAUUUGUCAACAAGUUUUUGGCGCCG
rnacentral:lncRNA from 1 species